rnacentral:rRNA from 1 species
UACGUAGGGUGCAAGCGUUGUCCGGAAUUAUUGGGCGUAAAGAGCUCGUAGGCGGUUUGUCGCGUCUGCUGUGAAAAUCCAGGGCUUAACCCUGGACCUGCAGUGGGUACGGGCAGACUAGAGUGCGGUAGGGGAGAUCGGAAUUCCUGGUGUAGCGGUGAAAUGCGCAGAUAUCAGGAGGAACACCGGUGGCGAAGGCGGAUCUCUGGGCCGUAACUGACGCUGAGGAGCGAAAGCGUGGGGAGCGAUCCGG